CAGUCGCCGCGGUAAUACGUAGGGGGCAAGCGUUAUCCGGAAUAACUGGGCGUAAAGGGUGCGCAGGUGGUUUCUUAAGUCUGAUGUGAAAGCCCCCGGCUCAACCGGGGAGGGUCAUUGGAAACUGGGAAACUUGAGUGCAGAAGAGGAGAGUGGAAUUCCACGUGUAGCGGUGAAAUGCGUAGAGAUGUGGAGGAACACCAGUGGCGAAGGCGACUCUCUGGUCUGUAACUGACGCUGAGGAGCGAAAGCGUGGGGAGCGAACAGGAUUAGAUACCCGCGUAGUCCCUGUCUCUUAUAC
rnacentral:rRNA from 1 species